GCAAAAUCGACCCAGCAACAAAAAAAUCCAAUUGGAUAAUCCGAUUUCUCUAAUCGCUCCAAUCAAAGACAGUGUCGAUUCGCGCCGCGAGUCUUGCUUCGUCGGAGACGGUGCUGCUGCGUCGUACACGGUGGUGUUUCGUUGAUUCACGUAAGUCUUCUAAAACGUUGGAGAUUCGCGCCGAGUCUUACUUCGUCGAGUCUUGCUUCGUCGAAGGCGGUGGUGCUUUGCCGUUAUACGACGAGUCUUGCUUCGUCGAAGGCGGUGGUGCUUUGCCGUUUCACGCCGAGUCUUGCUUCGUCGAAGACGGUGGUGCUUCCAAAUCAUUGGUGCUUUGCCGAUUAGAGCCGCGAAUCUUCCUCCUUCACGGUAGUGCUUCUUCGCGAGUCUUUCUUCUUCACAGUGGUGCUUCUUCGCGAGUCAUUCUUGUUCGGUGGUACUUCGCCGAGUCUUACUUCGUCGAAGGCGGUGGUGCUUUGCCGUUUCACGCCGAGUUUUGCUUCGUCGAAGGCGGUGGUGCUUCCAAUUCGUUGGUGCUUUGCUGAUUAGAGCCGCGAAUCUUUCUUCUUCACGGUGGUGCUUCUUCGCGAGUCAUUCUUGUUCGGUGGUACUUCGCCGAGUCGUAUUCUUAUUCAAUUGAAGAUUGAAGAAUGGAUGCUCCUAAUCAACAGGUUGUGUGGGUGGCUAGUGAGCUAACGGUUCCCCGGCUGAACCAUCUGAUUGGUCUCAUCAAUCAAUGGUCCAUGAACAGUAUUGAGUACGAGAAUGGAGCGAUUGUGCAGAUUGCAUAUCAGUGGGUUCCAGGUACUAUUGUACCAUACUUUGGACUUGGUGGAGGUGGCUUUGGCGGUGAAAGGAGAUGGUGGGGGUGGUGGAGGUGGAGGUGGCUUUGGCG